rnacentral:rRNA from 1 species
GAUGAACGCUGGCGGCGUGCCUAAUACAUGCAAGUCGAGCGAACAGACGAGGAGCUUGCUCCUCUGACGUUAGCGGCGGACGGGUGAGUAACACGUGGAUAACCUACCUAUAAGACUGGGAUAACUUCGGGAAACCGGAGCUAAUACCGGUAAUAUAUUUAACCGCAUGGUUCCAUAGUUAAAGACGGUUUUUCUGUUACCUAUAGAUGGAUCCGCGCCGCAUUAGCUAGUUGGUAAGGUAACGGCUUACCAAGGCGACGAUGCGUAGCCGACCUGAGAGGGUGAUCGGCCACACUGGAACUGAGACACGGUCCAGACUCCUACGGGAGGCAGCAGUAGGGAAUCUUCCGCAAUGGGCGAAAGCCUGACGGAGCAACGCCGCGUGAGUGAUGAAGGUCUUCGGAUCGUAAAACUCUGUUAUUAGGGAAGAACAAAUGUGUAAGUAACUAUGCACGUCUUGACGGUACCUAAUCAGAAAGCCACGGCUAACUACGUG